rnacentral:rRNA from 1 species
CUUUAAAAUAGCGUCACAGCUUAAAUAUNNNNCCUCAUUUNNUACUAAUUUCAAAAACAAUUUCUAACCCUUUAUUUNUUAUCAGACUAAUCUAUANNAAAUUAUAGAAUUAACAAUGUUAAAACUAGUAUCAAGAAGUAAACCCUUCUCUUUAAUGUAAGUGUAAGACAGAAAGGAUAAACCUCUGUCAAUUAACAUUUAUGAUUUUAAAUAAGUAACGUAANCAAGAAAACCCUUAUACNUAACAAUGUUAAACUAACACAAGAACAUUUCAAGAAAGAUUCAAAAAAAAAGAAGGAACUCGGCAAACCAAAACCCCGCCUGUUUACCAAAAACAUNCGCCUCUUGANGNNUAAAAUAAGAGGUCCAGCCUGCCCAGUGAAAUUNNGUUCAACGGCCGCGGUAUCCUAACCGUGCGAAGGUAGCGUAAUCACUUGUUCUUUAAAUGAGGACUAGUAUGAAUGGCACCACGAGGGUUCUACUGUCUCCUUUUUUAAAUCAGUGNNAAACUAAUCUCCCCGUGAAGAAGCGGGGAUUUUUUUAUAAGACGAGAAGACCCUAUGGAGCUUUAAACAAACNAUCAUUUGCUGCAUNANUANACANCUUUACNNNNNCUUCAUUANNNNNNNNNAAUAUAGCAUUAUGACCUNUUAGUUUUUGAUUGGGGUGAUCACGGAGUAAAAUGAAACCUCCACGCCGAAAGGGNNUUUGUACCCUGAGCAAAANAGCCACAACUUUAAGCACUAAAAAANUUAACGUANGUUUGACCCAAUANUUUUGAUCAACGAACCAAGUUACCNCUAGGGAUAACAGCGCAAUCCACUUCAAGAGNCUCCUAUCGACAAGUGGGUUUACGACCUCGAUGUUGGAUCAGGGUAUCCUAGUGGUGCAGCCGCUACUAAUGNGUUCGUUUGUUCAACGAUUAAAACCCUACGUGAUCUGAGUUCNAGACCGGAGUAAUCCAGGUCAGUUUCUAUCUAUANAAGGGNCUUUUUCUAGUACGAAAGGACCGAAAAAGCAUGGCCAAUAAAAUAUUUAAGCCAUNACUUAUUNNAUUUAUGAUUAAAACUAAAUUAAUAAAUGACCUAUUAUUNNUGUCUCGACAACAGAGAAGUUAACGUAGCAUAACCUGGUUUUGCUA